rnacentral:misc_RNA from 1 species
UCAUUACAACCCUCAAGCCUCGCUUGGUCCUGGGCGUUCGCUCCCCGCCAGAGCGUGCCUGAAAAAUAGUGGCGGUCCAGCGUGACUUUGAACGUAAUACCAUCUUCCGUUCUGAAAGCUCCGCGCUGUGUCCAGCCAAACAAACCCACGUUUUUUCCACGAUUGACCUCGGAUCAGGUAGGGAUACCCGCUGAACUUAA